UUAGUCUAGGACCUGUAUAGGAGUUUGUAUGCGUUUCAUUUACCACAGGUAAUCUCAACUGUUUUAGGGUAAAAUGACCAUGGCGGUCAACAUGGCAUAUGUGCCAAAACCUGAAUCCGGGGCGAAAGUCCUGAAAAUGACCCCGCCCUGAAACGGCAGUGCCGACAUAGCUCUAACUUCCGAAAAGCAAAAGCGACAGCCUUUCUGAAGUGCUUAUAGUGUUUAGAAGGGUUGCUUUUAGGGGUGGUCAUUGGAAGGAAAAAUUUGUCUAAGUAUAAUGUUUUACCAGAAAAUGACUAUGCACCACCCCAGGUAAAUUGCUGAUUAUGCACAAAAUAACUAAUAUGCCUGGCAGAAAUUUAAUGGUCUUAUUUCCUAAAAAAAAUAAACAUGGGAUGAAAAACUAUGCUUAAUAUAAUAUAAUUAUUGUAGUUUUCAUAAGGACUGUCCUUCUUUUCUGUAAAUAUAAUACAUUUUAAUUCACUCACCCCCCACGAAAACACGAUUUCAGCCAUAUUUUGUCGUCUUGCUUGCUUUUUAUCGCCGAAUCUCGCACACAUCAUCCAAUUGUUGUACUUUCACAUAAUGAUAGAUGGCUAAAGAAGAUUUCAACAAAAUUUCAUGACGUUUUGAAACAGUGCAGUGUAUUUUAUCUUCGAUAUCGUGUCCUUCGAUAUUUCGUCAAAUUGCCGCCAUUUUAAUGGCUCGCCGCUUCUCUGCCCGAUAAAUGCCACUUCUUCGUCUUCCUGUGUGUUUAUAUUACAGUAUCCAAGAGUAGUUGAACGUUGAAUAUUCCCAAUCGAAAGAAUGAAAAGAUUAGUUGGGUUUUGAUUGCAAAACCCUCUAGGUAAAAAAUAAAAUACAAAACAUUUGAAAGUCACGCGCAAUCUUCACGAAAAC